UUUGCACAUCGAAUUUUCUGUGCUGACAGGGCUCCACCAAACAGCCUGUUCCACAGAAGUUGACUCAACCCGCUCACAUGUACACGCAGAUUCUCUAAUCUUUGGCUUCACACUGCUGCAUAAAAGGAGGGGUUUCCAGGUGGACACAAAGCCCCAAGUGUGACACAAACAGAAGUAGUGUCCAUCUGGAUAUUUAAGGUGAAUAAAAACCCCAAAACCCUGCGGAAGUAGGGAGAUUCUGACCAGCUAAAAAAAACUGAAGUCCUAUGUCUAACCGAGAAAGUGUAAAAUAACACAAUAGAGCCUCUAAAUUCAACAACUGCGUGGAGAUCCUUGAAAACAAACAAACUAAUCCCAACUCAAAGUCCAUUUGGGACAUCUGGUACAAAAACAGAACACACCCGACCUGACACUGAUCUGCAGGAGGAGAUUCCUGCAAAUCACACGACUCGACUUUAAAUCUACUAGCAGCAGCAGAGGGAUCACGGACAAUGAAACAACUAAACCCUAAAUCCAGCCGCACCUGGAAAUCCCAGGCAACGAACCAAACAGAGCCACAAUCAGUGCCAGAGGAGGACUGUGGCCAUAGAAACAAGUAACUAAACUCUAAAUCCAUCAACCUAAACUUAUCUUAUCCCCCAUCUAAUCAAAAGCAGAGAGGGGGCAGCACAGUCAACCCGGAGCCUGCAGGAGAACAUUACAGAGAUUCCUCUGAUGACAUUAUCAGGAUUCUCAAGUCUCCCCAGAGUUUAAGUGUGCGCUUGCGUAAGCCCACGCCUAUUAAAUCAGUGAUGACAUUUUCCACCUCUUGGCUUCUGUUACGCUGAAAAAGCACAGUGUUGUUUGGCCCUAGCUACACAGACGGAGAGAGAAUGAGGAAAGGGUGAAAACAGAGGGAGAGGGAGAGAGAGAGAGAGGGGGCGGAAGAGAAUUUCAAUUAGUUUUCUAAUACUGUGAAAGCAGCGAGGGCCCCGAGCCCAAGUGAUUAUCAAAGUUAUGGCUCCUGCUAUAAUGAAGGCUCAUGCAUAUUACCAGGCAAAAAUAAAUAAAUAUCACGCACACAAACGCGCUGGAUGCAAACACCCAGAAUCACACACAUGCAAACUUAAACAAAUGGUCCUAAACGGCAUUUCUGCCUGUCGUGUCAGCCGGGUCACGCAGACUGCAGAACUGGUGCUGUGGAGACUUUCGUGCCUCAAAGCCUAAUGAUGUCUGGCCAUGUACUCAGAUCUCUGGGUAAUGAUGUUUCACACACACACAACCACACACACACACACACACACACACACACACACACACACACACAGCACACACACACACACACACACA